rnacentral:rRNA from 1 species
GACGAACGCUGGCGGCGUGCUUAACACAUGCAAGUCGAACGAAGUGGCGAACGGGUGAGUAACGCGUAAUCAACCUGCCCUUCAGAGGGGGACACCAGUUGGAAACGACUGCUAAUACCGCAUAAUGAAGGAGGGGAUUGUGUCUGAUUAGCUCGUUGGAGGGGUAACGGCCCACCAGGGCGAAGAUCAGUAGCCGGUCUGGAGGGAUGAACGGCCAAAUUGGGAAUGUGGAAAGGCCCAGACUCCUCAGGGAGGCAGCAGGGGGGAAUGUUCCGCAAUGGAGGAAAGUCUGACGGAGCAAAGCCGCGUGAGUGAUAACGGCCUUCGGGUUGUAAAGCUCUGUUAAUCGGGACGCGGUACCGGAAUAGAAAGCCACGGCUAACUACGUGCCAGCCACCGCGGUAAUAC